CGUGUCAAAUAUUGGGCCCGAAUACGCUUUAAUAGUUUAAUAAUAUGUGUUAAUAUAAAAAAAAAAAAAAAAAAAUCGAAACCUCAAUUCCAAGUAGUUGGAAUUAUUUAGUUUGGAGUUUGAACACACAGCGGUAGAGUUUUAUUUAAAUUUUAGAAUCCAAAACCGUCGUAUUAGUCUUGAAGGGGAUUCGAUGGAUCGUGUCUUGGUCUCGGCGAUUAAUCGACAUUGGGGAA